rnacentral:rRNA from 1 species
UGGGGAAUUUUGGACAAUGGGCGCAAGCCUGAUCCAGCCAUGCCGCGUGAGUGAAGAAGGCCUUCGGGUUGUAAAGCUCUUUCAGUUGGGGAAGAAACGAUUGCAACUAAUAAUUGUAAUUAAUGACGGUACCGACAGAAGAAGCACCGGCUAACUACGUGCCAGCAGCCGCGGUAAUACGUAGGGUGCGAGCGUUAAUCGGAAUUACUGGGCGUAAAGGGUGCGCAGGCGGUUUUGUAAGUCAGAUGUGAAAUCCCCGGGCUUAACCUGGGAAUGGCGUUUGAAACUGCAAGGCUAGAGUGUAGCAGAGGGGAUGGAAUUCCGCGUGUAGCAGUGAAAUGCGUAGAUAUGCGGAGGAACACCGAUGGCGAAGGCAGCUCCCUGGGGCUAACACGUGACGCU